rnacentral:rRNA from 1 species
CAGUAGCCGCGGGAAUACGUAGGUGGCAAGCGUUGUCCGGAAUUAUUGGGCGUAAAGGGCUCGCAGGCGGUUUCUUAAGUCUGAUGUGAAAGCCCCCGGCUCAACCGGGGAGGGUCAUUGGAAACUGGGAAACUUGAGUGCAGAAGAGGAGAGUGGAAUUCCACGUGUAGCGGUGAAAUGCGUAGAGAUGUGGAGAAACACCAGUGGCGAAGGCGACUCUCUGGUCUGUAACUGACGCUGAGGAGCGAAAGCGUGGGGAGCGAACAGGAUUAGAUACCCCUGUAGUCCCUGUCUCUUAUAC